GUCUUCGUGGUGUAGUGGGCAGCACGCUCGACGCGUAUUCGAGAGGUCCGCGGUUCAAGUCCCGGCGACAGCA
rfam:Stegodyphus mimosarum contig6687, whole genome shotgun sequence.